UGGGGAAUAUUGCGCAAUGGGCGAAAGCCUGACGCAGCGACGCCGCGUGAGGGAUGAAGGUUUUCGGAUCGUAAACCUCUGUCAGAAGGGAAGAAACCGCACUGUGCUAAUCAGCAGUGCCUUGACGGUACCUUCAAAGGAAGCACCGGCUAACUCCGUGCCAGCAGCCGCGGUAAUACGGAGGGUGCAAGCGUUAAUCGGAAUUACUGGACGUAAAGCGCACGUAGGCUGCUUUGUAAGUCAGGGGUGAAAUCCCACGGCUCAACCGUGGAACUGCCUUUGAUACUGCUUAGCUUGAAUCCGGGAGAGGGUGGCGGAAUUCCAGGUGUAGGAGUGAAAUCCGUAGAUAUCUGGAGGAACAUCAGUGGCGAAGGCGGCCACCUGGACCGGUAUUGACGCUGAGGUGCGAAAGCGUGGGGAGCAAACAGG
rnacentral:rRNA from 1 species